AUGCAAGUCAACGAUGAAGCUGGAGCUUGCUCCGGUGGAUUAGUGGCGAACGGGUGAGUAACACGUGAGCAAUCUGCCCUUGACUCUGGGAUAACUGCGGGAAACUGUAGCUAAUACCGGAUACGACGCCUUGGGGCAUCCCACGGGCGUGGAAAGAAUUUCGGUCAAGGAUGAGCUCGCGGCCUAUCAGCUAGUUGGUGAGGUAAUGGCUCACCAAGGCGACGACGGGUAGCCGGCCUGAGAGGGUGACCGGCCACACUGGGACUGAGACACGGCCCAGACUCCUACGGGAGGCAGCAGUGGGGAAUAUUGCGCAAUGGGCGAAAGCCUGACGCAGCAACGCCGCGUGAGGGAUGAAGGCCUUCGGGUUGUAAACCUCUUUUAUCAGGGAAGAAGCGAAAGUGACGGUACCUGAAGAAAAAGCACCGGCUAACUACGUGCCAGCAGCCGCGGUAAUACGUAGGGUGCAAGCGUUAUCCGGAAUUAUUGGGCGUAAAGAGCUCGUAGGCGGUUUGUCGCGUCUGCUGUGAAAAUCUGAGGCUCAACCUCGGACUUGCAGUGGGUACGGGCAGACUAGAGUGCGGUAGGGGAGAAGGGAAUUCCUGGUGUAGCGGUGGAAUGCGCAGAUAUCAGGAGGAACACCAAUGGCGAUGGCACUUCUCUGGGCCGCUACUGACGCUGAGGAGCGAAAGCGUGGGGAGCGAACAGGAUUAGAUACCCUGGUAGUCCACGCCGUAAACGUUGGGCGCUAGAUGUGGGUCACAUUCCACGUGAUCCGUGUCGCAGCUAACGCAUUAAGCGCCCCGCCUGGGGAGUACGGCCGCAAGGCUAANACUCAAAGGAAUUGACGGGGGCCCGCACAAGCGGCGGAGCAUGCGGAUUAAUUCGAUGCAACGCGAAGAAUCUUACCAGGCUUGACAUAUAGAGGAAAACUGCAGAAAUGUAGUCCCCGCAAGGUCUCUAUACAGGUGGUGCAUGGUUGUCGUCAGCUCGUGU
rnacentral:rRNA from 1 species